rnacentral:tRNA from 3 species
CGGGGUGUAGCGCAGCUUGGGAGCGCGCGUCGUUCGGGACGACGAGGUCGCAGGUUCAAAUCCUGUCACCCCGA